rnacentral:rRNA from 1 species
UACGUAGGGUGCAAGCGUUAAUCGGAAUUACUGGGCGUAAAGCGUGCGCAGGCGGUCUUUUAAGUCAGAUGUGAAAUCCCCGGGCUUAACCUGGGAACUGCGUUUGAAACUGGAAGGCUAGAGUGUGGCAGAGGGGGGUGGAAUUCCACAUGUAGCAGUGAAAUGCGUAGAGAUGUGGAGGAACACCGAUGGCGAAGGCAGCCCCCUGGGCUGACACUGACGCUCAUGCACGAAAGCGUGGGGAGCAAACAGG